rnacentral:lncRNA from 1 species
AAUUCCGGGGAAGAAACGGGAUAACAACAAAAGCUAACCACAAGACAUAAUUUAACCUCGGCAACCCUCUCCAUUCAGACCUACCAUGGACGCCUAAAUUAUGUGAACCCCAAGAAAGAGUUAAAGUGUAUACGUUAUUUUAAUUUUUAUAUUUUCAUAUGGUCGAGAAUAUUUAACCAUGUUUAAUAACAACACAGUCUGCACUGUUAAUGUCUGUGCAAAGCUUAGUUUCUUUAAGAUUAAAAGAAGAGCUGUCUUCAAAACCUUUGGAUGCCCAUGAUGGAGAAGCCUUUCAGUUCCACUCGAGUAAAAUUAUUUACAAACUUGGUUAAGGGAUAAAAUACUGUGACCAAAAGCAGCUUAGAAAUGGAAUGAUUGAUUUGGCUUACACUUCCCCAUCAUGGUUCAUCCCUGAGCCUACUGGAGACAGAAACUCAAAGCAGGCACCUGAAGUCAGAAAACGAAGCAGAGACCUUGGAGAAUCAUAGUUUACUGGCUUGUUAUCCAGGACUUCCUCAGACUGCUUUCUUAUACUAUCUGGGUCCACCUGCCAGGGAGCACACUGCCUACAGUGAACAGGAUCAUCCCAUUGUAAUCAUUAAUCAAGAAAAUGUCCCAUGGGCUUACAAACAGGACAAUCAUCUGAUGGGGAUAUUUUCUCAACUUAAAUUUUCUCUUCCUACAUGACUGUGGCUUAUACCAAGGUGACAGGAAAAGGAAGAGAGAGGGGGGGGAACCUACCAUGGUUAAAAUCAUCCAUGGUUAAAAACUACCACAAAUAGUUGUCAGUUGUGGUGCACACCUUUAAUCCCAACACUCAAGAGGCAGAGGCAGGUGAAUCUCUGUGAGUUUGAGUUCAACCUGUCUACAGAGCAAGUUCCAGGACAACCAAGGCUACACAGAGAAAUCCUGUCUCAAGAAAUCCAAAGCAAACAAACAAAAACAACAUCAACAAAACAAACCCUGCCACAAACGAAUGACACACUGGAUCUACUGCCUGAGUGAACUGCCUAGCUUAGCCAUGCGGUGCACUUCCUCUCAGGAGUGUUUGUUCGGGAACUGGUGUCUGCGCUGCUGCCUAUUGGCAGUAGGGAUGAUCUACCCUGACUACAAGCUAACACAAGGAUGAUCUACCCUGACUACUAGCUAACACAAGGAUGAGCUACCCUGACUACAAGCUAACACAAGGAUGAUCUACCCUGACUACUAGCUAACACAAGGAUGAUCUACCCUGACUACUAGCUAACACAAGGAUGAUCUACCCUGACUACUAGCUAACACAAGGAUGAUCUACCCUGACUACUAGCUAACACAAGGAUGAUCUACCCUGACUACUAGCUAACACAAGGAAAGACCAAAAUUCGAAAUGAAGCACUGCCCUUACUGAAUAUGGAGUCACUUUUACAAUAAAGUUGAAAAGCAGUAAGUGAGU